AUCAAUAAUGUUGAUACCAUCGAUGUGCCUCGUCCCCCGCCCCCGGGGCGCCGCUGCCGCCUUUUCGCCGCUUUUUGCCUUGCUUAAGAAAACGAAACCUCCACUACUGCCCUUCUAGCCUCGGCCGGGGGCCAGCGGGGCCUUGAGCUGGGGACUGAGGAAACAGGGGUGCAGGGAGAGCACUUGGAGACGUCCUCCAUUUCUGGGGUAGGGUGGCCAAGCACCGUCAACGGAACGGAAAAGAGGGUCUGGGGCCCAGGCAAGGCCUCAUCCCAGGCCCCAUCCCAGACCCGAGGUCAGAUCGGGCCAGAAUAAGAUACUUUUGAGGGUAGAAGAACCAGGCCUCAGAAUGCGCGAGCCUUGACGCCCCCCACGUUGCCCUUCGUAGGACCAGAGGUUGAGCAAAGAAGCCUGGAAACCUCAUGGCUGGGACCCCAGUUGUGGCCUGCGGCCUUGGGGCACAGACCUUCGGCCCCGCCAACCCACCAAGGAUACUCUAGGACUUGGGAAAACUAAGGGGACGUAUUAGUAGGAACGAGCAUCAAUCCCCCAAGAUGGGAGUUUGCAAAACUCGCCAAGCGCCUCCCCCGGGUGCGGUUCCUCUCCGCCAGUGAGGUCGCGACCCCGGCGCAGCUGCCGCCUCACUUCGGGCUAUCCCCAUUCGCUAUUGCGGAUCAGCCCCUAAGUACCAGGCCCUCUGGCGGAACCUGCAAGUCCAAACUUCGCUACCCGGAUUCCCCAGUAGUCCCCCCCCCACCCCACCUCCACCCAGAGUUAGGAGGGUGCUACCGCACGUAGAGCGCGCAGGUCUCUGGGGUGAGCAGGGCGCGUGGAGGGACUCCAGGAGUGGCACCUCACUCCCGCUCGCCGCCUACUUUCGACCCGCACAAAAAUAAAGAAUAACCCCCACUCUGCUUCUGUUUUUAUUGAUGUAUUUCUUUGCAUCGCGGCACGCGGAGCCUCGCCAGCGCCCUGACACUGCAGCGCCCGCACCAGCGAACCACGGAACUUGGGACCGAGACAAUGGCCCGUAAUUGAUGUAUUGCCAUCAACAAUAAAGACCAAUUCUCCUCUCCCCGCCAUUCCGACCAUCCCCCUCCUCCCAUCCCCCCC
rnacentral:lncRNA from 1 species